rnacentral:misc_RNA from 1 species
AAAUGCGAUAAGUAAUGUGAAUUGCAGAAUUCAAUGAAUCAUCGAAUCUUUGAACGCACCUUGCGCUCCUUGGUAUUCCUUGGAGCAUGCCUGUUUGAGUAUCAUGAAAUCUUCAAAGUAAAUCUUUUGUUAACUCAAUUGGUUUCUACUUUGGUAUUGGAGGUCUUUGCAGCUUCACACCUGCUCCUCUUUGUUCAUUAGCUGGAUCUCAGUGUUAUGCUUGGUUCCACUCGGCGUGAUAAGUUAUCUAUCGCUGAGGACACUGUAAAAGGUGGCCAAGGUAAAUGCAGAUGAACCGCUUCUAAUAGUCCAUUGACUUGGACAAUACUUUUAUGAUCUGAUCUCAAAUCAGGUAGGACUACCCGCUGAACUUAAGC